rnacentral:rRNA from 1 species
AUGAUGCAGUUUAUAAUUCCUCCGACCGUCAAGAUCAUGGCAGAGUCGCUGCUUCUCGCUCUGUUACGUGGUGUGGCCGGUAAGGCCACAGACACACUAGUCGAGACUAUGACCCGCAUGUGUGGCCUCAAGGACGACCGCCAAACUCUCGAGCGGCUUCUACUAGCCGUUGAGUGCAAGUUGGCCAAUGCCGAGGAGAGGAGCGAGACAAAUGGCUAUGUGAAGAGCUGGAUGAAGGAGCUCAAGUCCGUCGCCUACGAGGCGGACGACGUGCUCGACGAUUUCCAAUAUGAGGCGCUCCGCCGACAGUCAAAGAUUGGCAAGUCCACUACCCAAAAGGUACUCAGCUACGUCACCCGCCGCAGCCCGCUGCUCUUCCGUUUUGAAAUGAGCAGGAAACUCAAGAACGUCCUCAAGAAGAUCAAUAAGUUGGUUAAGGAGAUGAACACAUUUGGCUUGGAGAGUUCUGUCCCUAGGGAGGAGCGGCAACAUCCAUGGCGGCAGACGCACUCAAAACUAGAAGAGACUACCCAGAUCUUUGGAAGAGAUGAUGAUAAGGAGGUGGUGGUGAAGUUCCUGCUGGACCAGCAGGAUCAACGGAGGGUGCAUGUGCUGCCGAUCAUUGGGAUGGGAGGUCUUGGCAAGACGACUCUUGCUAAGAUGGUCUAUAAUGACCAAGGGGUCCAGCAACAUUUCCAGUUGAAGAUGUGGCACUGCGUGUCCGACAACUUUGAUGUCAUGGCUCUUUUGAAAUCCAUCAUUGAGUUGGCCGUAAGUGGAAGAUGUGACAUGCCUAACACGAUUGAGCUGUUGCAAAAGAAACUUGAGCAAGUCAUUGACCAAAGAAGGUUUAUUCUCGUGCUUGAUGAUGUGUGGAAUGAAGAUGAGAGGAAGUGGGAGGAUGUCCUGAAGCCUCUUUUGUGUUCUGUUGGUGGACCGGGAAGUGUAAUAGUCGUGACAACUCGAAGCCAGAAAGUAGCCUCUAUAAUGCAGACCCUUGGACCACAUAAGCUAGCAUGUCUGAGUGAACAAGAUUCAUGGGAAUUAUUUGCGCAAAAAGCAUAUAGAAACAGUGUAGAGCAGGACCAAUCAGAGUUGGUCAGCAUUGGCAGACGUAUUGUCAACAAAUGCUGGGGGCUGCCUCUUGCUCUCAAGACAAUGGGUGGAUUGCUAAGUUCAUAUCAACAAGUACAAGAAUGGAAGGCCAUCGAAGAAAGUAAUAUUAGGGAUAAUGCUAGAGGGAAAGAUGAGAUCAUGUCCAUCCUUAAGUUGAGCUACACACACCUAUCAUCUGAAAUGAAGCAAUGUUUUGCAUUCUUAGCAGUUUUUCCCAAGGACUAUCAGAUGGACAAGCACAAUUUGAUCCAACUAUGGAUAGCAAAUGGUUUUAUUCAAGAGAAGGGAACAAUGGAUUUGACACUAACAGGAGAAUUCAUUUUCAAUGAGUUUGUUUGGAGGUCCUUCCUCCAGGAUCAAAAUGUAGUAGUGAAAUAUGAUUACAUGGUUGAUAAACCAAUGUAUGAGAUGAUAGUAUGUAAAAUGCAUGACUUAAUGCAUGAUCUAGCAAAAGAUGUCACAGAUGAAUGUGCAAGUGUAGAAGCACUGACUCCGCAGAAAGCAUCGUUAAAAUAUGUUUGUCACCUGAAAAUGCCAGAGGCUGAAUUGGAAAAGAUGAGUGGAUUAUGCAAAGGCAGAACAUACCUCCGCACUUUGUUAGCUCCUUCAAAAUUACACAAGGAUUUUAAAGAGUUGGUACAUGUAUCGACAUCACUGAGAGCACUGCAUUGCUAUCAUUAUCCAAUUUCCAUUUGCAAGGCCAUAAAUGCAAAAAGAUUACGAUAUCUUGACCUCUCUUACUCUGACAUUGCUAAGUUGCCAGAUUCAAUAUGUGUGUUGUAUAACUUGCAAACAUUGAGGCUCAUAGGUUGCCGAAAGCUGCAGCAGUUACCAAGAGACAUGGCAAGACUGAGAAAUCUCAUCCACCUUUAUCUUUAUGGUUGUUAUCAUCUCAAAAGUAUGUCUCCGAACUUUGGUCUACUGAACAACCUUCACAUAUUAACAACAUUUGUUGUGGAUACUAAGGAUGGCCUUGGAAUAGAGCAACUCAAAGGCUUGCAACACCUUAGCAAUAGAUUGGAGCUAUUGAAUUUGAACAAGAUAAAGAGUGGGGGGAAUGCAAAAGAAGCCAAUCUCAGUCAGAAGCAAAAUCUAAGUGAGUUAUUUAUUAUUCUCUUGGGGCAAAGAAAUAGAUAA